UGUGAUAUAGCUCAAUUGGCAGAGCGCUGGACUGUUAAUCCGGUGGCUGAAGGUUCGAGUCCUUCUAUCACAGC
rnacentral:tRNA from 1 species